GCCUGUUUGGCUCAGUGGAUAGAGCAUCAGUCUGCAGACUGAAGGGUCCCCGGUUCGAUUCUGGCCAAGGGCA
rfam:Myotis brandtii contig196664, whole genome shotgun sequence.